UUACUGGCUGACGGUGAGUCUGAAGGAAGUCAUAGGAGGAUAGAGGUACACAACUAACCGUAACCUGUUUCGGCGGUAUUGGUGGGUAAGCCACCAUAAUAGCGCGAAGCCCUAUACUUAGUCAGACCAAUCUGUGUUUGAGGGUAGAAGCAUAAACGGC
rfam:Colwellia psychrerythraea 34H, complete genome.